CUACGGGGCGCACCAGUGGGGAAUAUUGCACAAUGGGCGAAAGCCUGAUGCAGCAACGCCGCGUGAGCGAUGAAGGCCUUCGGGUCGUAAAGCUCUGUCCUCAAGGAAGAUAAUGACGGUACUUGAGGAGGAAGCCCCGGCUAACUACGUGCCAGCAGCCGCGGUAAUACGUAGGGGGCUAGCGUUAUCCGGAAUUACUGGGCGUAAAGGGUGCGUAGGUGGUUUUUCAAGUCAGAAGUGAAAGGCUACGGCUCAACCGUAGUAAGCUUUUGAAACUGUAAAACUUGAGUGCAGGAGAGGAGAGUGGAAUUCCUAGUGUAGCGGUGAAAUGCGUAGAUAUUAGGAGGAACACCAGUUGCGAAGGCGGCUCUCUGGACUGUAACUGACACUGAGGCACGAAAGCGUGGGGAGCAAACAGGAUUAGAUACCCCUGUAGUC
rnacentral:rRNA from 1 species